UACUUUUGCAGCCGUCUUACAAUAGAUGUUUGACAUACAUAAUAAUCAUUUAAAUAAUAUUGGAAUG
rnacentral:ncRNA from 1 species